GUGAAAACAAAUACAUCUAUGAAUGAGACAAAUGCAUUGGAACUUAAAUGGAGGUGAACUUGCUUGCAUACCCAGGAAAGAUCACAAGUAUCCAGCCCCACAGAAAUACUGUAUUAUUGUUGUCACUCCGAGACCAGAAGAGCUUUUUGAAGAAGUUAUCUACCGUAGAGAGGAGCUGCAAUACUUAGUAAUUUCUGCAGAAUGGCCUCAUAGAAAUAUGGUUCCCGAAUUAAUAAAGGUAAAAGCAUUACAGCUUGAAGAAAUACAUGUUAUGCUUUAGCACAUGAAUUGGGCUUUUCCCCUCAGAUUGCGAGCUUGGGAAAGCUGAGCUUAAGGCAAUUUCUUCAAUUGCACUUUGUUUAUAUUUUGGGUUAUGCCGAGACAGACUUACAAAGUCAGCUGUGAUAAUGGAACUGGAUAAACUUUAUUCAUAUGAGAGUGAGAAAAAAAAGGAUCCGAAAUCAGAUGUUCAUGAAGGCAAACUGAGCGAGUUCUGUGCUGAUUAUUGUGGGUUUCGGCCUCACUGCUCCCAUUCUGCAUCUGGUAAGCUGCAUUUACUCAAUUCUUUUUAUUUUCUUGUGUUCUGAGUCAAGUAUAGGAAUGAUGAGAAACACAGGAGACUUUCCUGCCACGUGUAGGUAAUCCAAAGUCAUUUUUACUGCUGAUGACCAAUGCGGUAUCACUCAUGUUCUUAAAGCCUUCUAAAGUACUGAAUGGUCAUAGGCUUAGGAAAUACUUUCUAUGAAUGACUACUCUGAUUUCUUGUGAGCCACAUCACAUUUUUUUACUUGAACAGCUCCCGAGGAGCAAUCUGACUUUUACUGUGAUUUCAC
rnacentral:lncRNA from 1 species